rnacentral:rRNA from 1 species
GAGUUGAUCAUGGCUCAGGACGAACGCUGGCGGCGUGCUUAAUACAUGCAAGUCUAAGGGGUUACUUCCCUUCGGGGAAGUGAUCACUGGCGCACGGGUGAGUAACACGUAAGUAAUCUGCCCUCGGGUCUGACAUAACUCCGGGAAACCGGAGCUAAUAGCAGAUGACAUGGAAACAUCAAAGGUUUCGACUGCCCGGGGAUGAGCUUGCGUCUGAUUAGCUAGUUGGCGGGGUAACAGCCCACCAAGGCGACGAUCAGUAGCCGGUCUGAGAGGAUGAUCGGCCACAUUGGGACUGAGACACGGCCCAGACUCCUACGGGAGGCAGCAGUAAGGAAUAUUGCGCAAUGGACGAAAGUCCGACGCAGCAACGCCGCGUGCAGGAUGACGGCCCUUUGGGUUGUAAACUGCUGUAGCAGGGGAAUAAUGGCCACCUCGGGUGGUUUGAAGGUACCCUGAAAGUAAGCGCCGGCUAACUACGUGCCAGCAGCCGCGGUAAUACGUAGGGCGCAAGCGUUGUCCGGAUUCACUGGGUGUAAAGGGUGCGCAGGCGGACUGGCAAGUCAGGGGUGAAAUCUCACAGCUCAACUGUGAAACUGCCUUUGAUACUGCUGGUCUUGAGUCAGGGAGAGGUUGAUGGAAUUCCAGGUGUAGCGGUGAAAUGCGUAGAUAUCUGGAAGAACACCGGUGGCGAAGGCGGUCAACUGGCCCUGAACUGACGCUC